GACGAACGCUGGCGGCGUGCCUAAUACAUGCAAGUAGAACGCAGUUGCGAACGGGUGAGUAACGCGUAGGUAACUGCCUCAUAGCCGGGGAUAACUAUUGGAAACGAUAGCUAAUACCGCAUACUGUUAGAUGGACCUGCGUUGUAUUAGCUAGUUGGUGAGGUAAAGGAUCACCAAGCCGACGAUACAUAGCCGACCUGAGAGGGAGAUCGGCCACACCGGAACGGGAACAAGACCCAGACUCCUACCGUAGGCAGCAGUAGGGAAUCUUAGGCAAUUGAAGGAAGUCUGACCGAGCAAAGCCGAGUGAGUGAAGAAGGUUUUCGGAUCGUAAAGCUCUGUUGUUAGAGAAGCGGUAACUAACGAGAAAGGAGCGGCUAACUCCGUGCCAGCCGCCGCGGUAAUAC
rnacentral:rRNA from 1 species